GUGGGGAAUUUUGGACAAUGGGCGAAAGCCUGAUCCAGCCAUGCCGCGUGUGUGAAGAAGGUCUUCGGAUUGUAAAGCACUUUAAGUUGGGAGGAAGGGCAGUAAGUUAAUACCUUGCUGUUUUGACGUUACCGACAGAAUAAGCACCGGCUAACUUCGUGCCAGCAGCCGCGGUAAUACGAAGGGUGCACGCGUUAAUCGGAAUUACUGGGCGUAAAGCGCGCGUAGGUGGUUUUGUAAGUUGGAGGUGAAAUCCCCGGGAUCAACCAUGGAACUGCCUCCAAAACUGCAUGACUAGAGUACGGUAGAGGGUAGUGGAAUUUCCUGUGUAGCGGUGAAAUGCGUAGAUAUAGGAAGGAACACCAGUGGCGAAGGCGACUACCUGGACUGAUACUGACACUGAGGUGCGAAAGCGUGGGGAGCAAACAGGAUUAGAAACCCUUGUAGUCC
rnacentral:rRNA from 1 species